UACGGAGGGUGCGAGCGUUGUCCGGAUUUAUUGGGUUUAAAGGGUGCGCAGGUGGCCCGGUCAGUCAGUGGUGAAAUGCGGCCGCUCAACGGUCGAACUGCCAUUGAUACUGUAGGACUUGAAUUAUUAGGAAGUAACUAGAAUAUGUAGUGUAGCGGUGAAAUGCUUAGAGAUUACAUGGAAUACCAAUUGCGAAGGCAGGUUACUACUAAUAUAUUGACGCUGAUGGACGAAAGCGUGGGUAGCGAACAGG
rnacentral:rRNA from 1 species